UACAGGUUCAUUCACUUCCGGAUGUAUGGUGGAUUCGAGAUUCGGUGGCAGCACACCUUCAGAAUCCAUUCAAAUUGAUGACAGACCCUCAGGAGACAAAAACCGAAAACAUGACCAAUUCCCUUCUGAGUCUUCCAUGGUGGGUAUUACUGCUCUACAGGAUGUGCAACCGAACAAGGCAUGCU